rnacentral:rRNA from 1 species
GAUGAACGCUAGCGGGCAGGCCUAAUACAUGCAAGUCGAACGGGAUUGUCCAGCUUGCUGGGCAUGAGAGUGGCGAAUGGGUGCGUAACGCGUGAGCAACCUACCCUUGUCUGGGGGAUAGCCCGGAGAAAUCCGGAUUAAUACCGCAUAACGUCGGUGAGCGGCAUUGCUUACCGACCAAACAUUUAUGGGACAUGGAUGGGCUCGCGUGACACUAGUUAGUUGGCAGGGUAACGGCCUACCAAGACCGCGAUGUCUAGGGGAUCUGAGAGGAUGACCCCCCACACUGGUACUGAGACACGGACCAG